rnacentral:rRNA from 1 species
GAUUAACGCUAGCGGCAGGCCUAAUACAUGCAAGUCGAACGGUAACAGGUCCAGCAAUGGAUGCUGACGAGUGGCGCACGGGUGCGUAACACGUAUGCAAUCUACCUUUAACUGGGGGAUAGCCCCGAGAAAUCGGGAUUAAUACCCCAUACUAUUAUGAUGAGGCAUCUCAUUAUAAUCAAAGCUCCGGCGGUUUUAGAUGAGCAUGCGCGACAUUAGCUAGUUGGUGAGGUAACGGCUCACCAAGGCUUCGAUGUCUAGGGGUUCUGAGAGGAUUCACCCCCACACUGGUACUGAGACACGGACCAGACUCCUACGGGUGGCAG